AGAGUUUGAUCAUGGCUCAGAUUGAACGCUGGCGGCAGGCCUAACACAUGCAAGUCGAGCGGUAGCACAGAGAGCUUGCUCUCGGGUGACGAGCGGCGGACGGGUGAGUAAUGUCUGGGAAACUGCCUGAUGGAGGGGGAUAACUACUGGAAACGGUAGCUAAUACCGCAUAACGUCGCAAGACCAAAGUGGGGGACCUUCGGGCCUCAUGCCAUCAGAUGUGCCCAGAUGGGAUUAGCUAGUAGGUGGGGUAAUGGCUCACCUAGGCGACGAUCCCUAGCUGGUCUGAGAGGAUGACCAGCCACACUGGAACUGAGACACGGUCCAGACUCCUACGGGAGGCAGCAGUGGGGAAUAUUGCACAAUGGGCGCAAGCCUGAUGCAGCCAUGCCGCGUGUAUGAAGAAGGCCUUCGGGUUGUAAAGUACUUUCAGCGAGGAGGAAGGCGUUAAGGUUAAUAACCUUAGCGAUUGACGUUACUCGCAGAAGAAGCACCGGCUAACUCCGUGCCAGCAGCCGCGGUAAUACGGAGGGUGCAAGCGUUAAUCGGAAUUACUGGGCGUAAAGCGCACGCAGGCGGUCUGUCAAGUCGGAUGUGAAAUCCCCGGGCUCAACCUGGGAACUGCAUUCGAAACUGGCAGGCUAGAGUCUUGUAGAGGGGGGUAGAAUUCCAGGUGUAGCGGUGAAAUGCGUAGAGAUCUGGAGGAAUACCGGUGGCGAAGGCGGCCCCCUGGACAAAGACUGACGCUCAGGUGCGAAAGCGUGGGGAGCAAACAGGAUUAGAUACCCUGGUAGUCCACGCCGUAAACGAUGUCGACUUGGAGGUUGUGCCCUUGAGGCGUGGCUUCCGGAGCUAACGCGUUAAGUCGACCGCCUGGGGAGUACGGCCGCAAGGUUAAAACUCAAAUGAAUUGACGGGGGCCCGCACAAGCGGUGGAGCAUGUGGUUUAAUUCGAUGCAACGCGAAGAACCUUACCUACUCUUGACAUCCAGAGAACUUAGCAGAGAUGCUUUGGUGCCUUCGGGAACUCUGAGACAGGUGCUGCAUGGCUGUCGUCAGCUCGUGUUGUGAAAUGUUGGGUUAAGUCCCGCAACGAGCGCAACCCUUAUCCUUUGUUGCCAGCGGUCCGGCCGGGAACUCAAAGGAGACUGCCAGUGAUAAACUGGAGGAAGGUGGGGAUGACGUCAAGUCAUCAUGGCCCUUACGAGUAGGGCUACACACGUGCUACAAUGGCAUAUACAAAGAGAAGCGACCUCGCGAGAGCAAGCGGACCUCAUAAAGUAUGUCGUAGUCCGGAUUGGAGUCUGCAACUCGACUCCAUGAAGUCGGAAUCGCUAGUAAUCGUAGAUCAGAAUGCUACGGUGAAUACGUUCCCGGGCCUUGUACACACCGCCCGUCACACCAUGGGAGUGGGUUGCAAAAGAAGUAGGUAGCUUAACCUUCGGGAGGGCGCUUACCACUUUGUGAUUCAUGACUGGGGUGAAGUCGUAACAAGGUAACCGUAGGGGAACCUGCGGUUGGAUCACCU
rnacentral:rRNA from 2 species